AACCACUCUGAAUACUAAAUGUAUCCCAAAAAGAAAACUUCCAACUUACACUGGAAAAAAAAAAUAGGGAUCAAACAAUCCAACUAUAAAAAGAACCCACAAGGAAUAGAAUGUGUCUGAUUUGUGAAAUAGAAAGGAAAGACACCAGACAUCCCAUGACUGGAGGUGAGAUGUUGGGAAAAGGUCAAACUCAGUCAGGAAUCAGGACAUCACUACCAUGCUUCCCAAAAGCCAGAAGAGACUCUAGAAAAUGUAGCUGACAGCACCAAAUGAAUUUCAGGAGUCCUCUAUGAAAAGGGGUCAACUCAAAGAUUAAUCAUGAUUUAACUGGUGCAUAUGCCUCAAUGUGGGCCUUUUGCGCAUGGAUUAAUUUAAACUUCACUCUCUAAUUUCAAAUUGCAUCAGUCUUAAAACCAACAAUGGAUUUGUUUCUGCUCUCAAACUGGUAUAUGUUUAUUGAUUUCAGAGUUCUUGAUUUACACUAGUGAAAGAAACAAAAAAGAAUCAAGCCACCUAGUAUUCACUUUUACUAUCAGCUCCUAUGUACUACACACCCCAACCUGUGAAUCAAGCCCUAGGUCUCUAAAGUGUCUCCUUUGUGCUCACCAAAACCUCUCCUGGAUUCUCCUCCCUCCCAGACAAAAAGGUGCAAGGUCCUAUCCAGAUGAUGCUUCUAGAACAUGCUAAAAAAUAGGUUUCUGGGCAUAUGCUCUGUACACUCUGGCUCAAUGACAGGGCAAUUAAUACCUUUUAAUGAGUGGCUAAACCCUGGAAUGGGAAUGUAUAAAAUAAAUCCUGAUGAUUCCCAGUUUCCUAAAGGCAUAAAAUGUCUCAUUUUUUCAUUGCCCAGUAUUCCACCAUCUGGAAAGUGAAUAAAAUCCUGAAAUAUUCCAGUGAUUAACUUGGUCAAUUAAUGGUCAUCUCUCCUUAAGGAACUUCUAGUAAAUUAGCUACUUUCCUGUGCAAAAGGAUUUCAGCUGUCAUAGAUCACUCUUGCAAUAGCCAUAGAUAAAUGAAGCCGGAAGUCAUUUUUCCAGUAGGUAGAAAUCCCAAACUAUAUUCAUCAUCCUUUUGUACAAAUUUGACUAUGAAUGUAAUCUUAGUGUGGUUUAUUGCAUGGUUAUUUAUAUAAUGAGGACAUAACAGGGGCAUUUAUUAUAGUCAGGUAUC